AUUUUUCCAUGCCCCGACCUCAAAUGCCAUGUACGUAAGCUUGAAUACGUUGAUGUGCACCCCGCCACAUCUCCCCCUUCUUCAAUUCUUAGAGCGUGCUGGUCAUCCAAUGCAAGACGCUGCAGGGCUUGGCGGAAGAUCUGAGCCAUUUGCCUGGACGUUCUCCAUGCUAUUGUGAUCGGCCUCAUCUGUCUGAAACCUUGCUGACCCCGGCUUAUCUGGUGUUGGACCAAAUGACCCUGGAGUCUCUGCAUCUUCUUCAGGGUGACCUGUGCAUGUCUGCUAUCCCUGCCCCUGCCAGCCGUAGGCUGACCUCCACCUGACCCUCAACUGCAUGGGCCCUGAUGAGUCACAGGCUCCCUUCACAGAAGGAAGGUGGAAAAAGCUCACGUGAACGUUGCUUUCCUGUCCUUGGACUUCUGACAUCCCUCGGGCCAGCCCUCAGCAGUGAGCCAACCCGCAAGUCCUGCUCAGGAUCCAGUGGGAAGGCAGCUGUCCUCUUGGAUGAUCCUGGCACCAUAUUGGAAGGAGUCCAUCUGUGGAGGCCAUCAGAGAUUUGAUCACCUCAGCUGUUGUUCAGCUCCUCCGGGGACUGGGGGAAUUUUCGUGCCAUUGGUGUUGACAAUGACAUAAUCCUAGCUCUAAGUCGUCUAAGUGUGUUUCUCCACAGAUACACAUCAAGUACUAGGUGGUGCCAUUCUGUCCCACACAACUGUACAAUAAGUCUUCUCAAAGGCUGAGAAGACUCACCAUACAGAGCUUCAUUCCUUGAAACCCUAAGCUGGAACCCUGAAACCUUAUUUUUUCUUUCAGCUACCAUAAGGCUGAAAUUAACCAUAGCCUUCCCAAGGAUUGGUUUCUUCUCAAAGAGUUUUAACUUAUAAAUAGGACCAAAGAUUUUAAAAAUACAAAUGUUUGUCAUUAAAUGAAGUCAUGCAAGUGAAAGUGCCUAGAAUAGUACUUGGCUCAUAGCUGGUACAUGGGAAAGUCUUGUUUUCCACCUCCAUGUACUCCAGACGCAGCUUAGAAAAUCAGGUAACUUGGCCGGGCUCGGUGGCUCAUGCCUAUAAUCCCAGCACUUUGGGAGGCUGAGGCAGGCGGAUCACGAGGUCAGGAGUUUGAGACCAGCCUGGUCAACAUAGCGAAACCCCAUCUCUAUCAAAAAACAAAAAAUUAGCUGGGCGUGGUGGCGGGCACCUGUAAUCCCAGCUACUUGGGAGGCUGAGGUGGGAGGAUCGCUUGAUCCUGGGAGGCAAAGGUUGGAGUAACCUAUGAUCACACCACUGCACUCCAGCCUAGGUGACAGAGUGAGACCCUGUCUCAAAAAAAAAAGGCAGAGCUGAAUAAGACCGUUACUGUCACAGGGCUUUCUUCAAUAAAUGCUAGUCACU
rnacentral:lncRNA from 10 species